ACCACUUCUCAGCCUUUUAGCUAAGACCAAGGGUCGUAUAUGUUCCUAUCAGUUUAAAAUGCAAGAAAGUGAGAGAUGAGACCAGUUGUGGGCUACAUUAUGCAUUGUCAAUUAUUUGUUUUGUUUGAUAUUUAUUCAUGGUGAAUGAAAGGGAGCUAUUAAAAGAUGUUAAGCCAUU
ensembl:snRNA U2 U2 spliceosomal RNA